GACGAACGCUGGCGGCGUGCUUAACACAUGCAAGUCGAACGGAAAAGCCCUGUUCUUGUGGGGUGUGCGAGUGGCGAACGGGUGAGUGAGACGCGAGUAACCUGCCCUUGACUUUGGGAUAACUUCAGGAAACUGGGGUUAAUACAGGAUAGGAGCUCUUGCUGCAUGGUGUGGGUGGGAAAGUUACGGUGGUUGGGCAUGGACUGGCGGUUUAGCAGUGUGUUGGUGGGGUGGUGGCUUACCAAGGCUUCGACGGGUGGCCGGCCUGAGAGGGUGACCGGCCACAUUGGGACUGAGAUAGGAGCCAGACUCCUACGGGAGGCAGCAGUGGGAAAUAGUGCGCAAUGGGCGGAAGCCUUAUGCAGCGACGCCGCGUGGGGGAUGACGGCCUUCGGGUUGUAACCCGCUUUCGCCUGUGACGAAGCGUGAGUGACGGUAAUGGGUAAAGAAGCGCCGGCUAACUACGUG
rnacentral:rRNA from 1 species